rnacentral:ncRNA from 1 species
AUUAAUCUUCGGGGCAGGGUUAAAUUCCCGAUCGGCGGUAAAGUCCGCGAAUCAUGAGAAUGAUUGAGCUAGUGAAAUUCUAGUACCGACUGUAGAGUCAGGAUGGAAGAAGAUAAGA